GGGCAGCACGCCGGGAGCCAUUUAGUUUUAUGCUCUUAUUGUAUGAAUAGAAAAAAAAAUGUCCUUAGUGGUUAAGUGGCUUCUCAAUGCCACGUAAGACUUGUUCCAGAGAAGUUGAAUUAGGGGAAGGUGAACACGUUGGAAGUUAGUGACAAGGAGAAAAGCUGAAAACUACAGAAGAAAGUCAGAACCAGAGGGAAAAGUAAGACUGAGUAGGCGUCUCCGGGUUUGUGAAAAAGUGGAUUUUCUUUGUUGCAGUCAGGGGAGGUUUGUCUGCUGGUUGCAGAAAGAAGUCAGACUAGAGAUACUGUGGGGUUGUUUUGUUUGGAACGGAAAUCAAAGACCAAUUUUUGUGAGAGAAGGAAAUAACAUCUGCAAAUGACAUGCUGUUUCUGCUGCUUCCAUUGCUAGCUGUUCUCCCAGGUGGUGAAAAUGCAGACGGGUUCAAGGAGGCUGUCUGCUUCCGUGUCAUCCAAAUCUCAUCCUUUUACAACCAUUCCUGGGAAUGAAAUCUUGGCUCAGGUUGGCUGGGUGAUUUGCAGACUCACACCUGGGACAGCAAUUCCAGCACCAUCAUUUUCCUGUGGCCCUGGUCCAGGGGAACCUUCAGCAGUGAGGAGUGGAUGGACCUGGAUACGUUAUUCCGUAUACACUUUAUUCAUUUUACUGAGGCAGUUCAUAGACACACCAGUGAAUUAAUAUUUGAAUAUCCUUUUGAGAUACAGAUAAGAGCAGGCUGUGAGGUGCACUCUGGAAAGCUCUCAGGAAGCUUCCUUCAGGUAGCUCACCAAGGAUCAGAUUUCAUGAGCUUCCAGAACAACUCAUGCCUGCCAUCUCCACUUGCUGGAAAUGCGGCCAAGCGUCUCUGCAAAGUUUAUCAGCUUCAGCGUAACAAGGACCUAAUACACCAUCUCUUCAGUGACACCUGCCCACGUUUCCUCUUGGGUCUUCUUGAUGCAGGAAAGGCACAUCUCCAGCGGCAAGUGAAGCCUGAGGCCUGGCUGUCCCGUGGUCCCAGUCCAGGCCCUGGCCAUCUGCUGCUGGUGUGCCAUGUCUCAGGAUUCUACCCAAAGCCUGUGUGGGUGAGGUGGAUGCGGGGUGAGCAGGAACAGCCGGGCACUCAGCGAGGGGACAUCCUGCCCAAUGCUGAUGGAACAUGGUAUCUCCAAGCAACCCUGGAGGUGGCCGCUGGGGAGGCAGCUGAUCUGUCCUGUCGGGUGAAGCACAGCAGUCUAGAGGGCCAGGACAUCGUCCUCUACUGGGAACAUCACAAUUCCGUGGGCUUGAUCAUCUUGGCGGUGAUAGUGCCUUUACUUCUUCUGAUAGUGUGUCUUGCACUUUGGUUCAGGAAACGCUGUUUCUAUUAAGACACAUCAUGAGCCUUCUCGUCAUCAUUCUCCUUUUGGGAUGAGAAACCAGCAGCCCAAGGGCUCAGGACACACCUGACCAUGUCGUGGUGAUGACGUCGUUUCCACUCUCCUUGUUAAUUUGCUUGUUUCUGCUUAACGAUCAUUUGUCAAUAUAAGCUCAAUUUAAUUUUGGAGGAUUUGUUGUUCUGACCUGGGUUUCGGGACUUUGAAAUUCAAAUUUUAUCUGUGAAUGGAAUGGGGUCCUAGAAAACUUCACAUGCUCGACCACUAAUGUAUCAUCAGGCCCUUUUAGAUUCCCUUCCUCCAGAGGGCCUUCCCUGACUCACAGGUGGGAAGCAGUCUCGCCCUGCUCUGAACUCCCGCCAGAUUUCAGCCGUAUUUGCUGACUGUACUCUUCACUUCCUCUCCUUCAUUGCAGUUAUUUAGGUGCUGCUUUUCCUUCUAAUUUUUCAGCUCCUUCAAUGCAAAGUAAAUGUGUUUUAAAUCUACGUAUUCCUGGUGAAGGAUCUUGCCUGCAUGAAACAUAAACUAUUGAAUGUAUGCUCAAUUUGUAGUCUUUUCUGAUUCUUUUCCCUCCUGGUACUUUGAAGCAGUUCAGUCAUUUGAUAUUUUUCUUGUCUAAAGUCUUCUUACUUGGAGGAGGUUUUACACAUUUCUAGUUCUAUAGUGUUUUAGCUCCAGAGGAGAAACACCAUUUUGCCUCUCAUACUACUGUCACUGAACUAUAGAGAGCUAUUAGAUUAAUUUACUGUUCCAAGUAUGCAGGGCAGGAUGCGAGUCUUUACUAUUCAGUGGUUCAGAGAUGAGUAGCAGAGUUAUCACAUUGGAGCUUGAUAGAAAGGUCGAAUUUGGAGCUCACUUUAGAUUUACUGAAUUAUAAUUUGCAUUUUGGAAAAGCAGAAGAAUACUCAACAAGUUUAUUAGAAUUUGAGUGACAGUCAUGUGCGUGAUGCCUGAGAUAUAGUACAAGUGUGUCACUGAAAAGAAAAUGACCCAGCAAUCCCAUUACUGGAUAUAUCGUCAAAGGAUUAUAGAUCGUUCUAUUAUAAAGAGACAUGCCCACGUAUGUUCAUUGCGGCACUGUUCACAAUAGCAAAGACUUGGACCCAACCCAAAUGUCUCUCAAUAAUAGAUCCGAUCAAGAAUGUGGCACAUAUACACCAUGGAAUAUUACACAGCCAUAAAAAACAAUGAAUUUGUGUCCUUCGUAGGGACAUGGAUGAAUCUGGAAACCAUCAUUCUCAGCGAACUGACACAAGAACAGAAAACCAAACACCGUAUGUUCUUACUCACAUAUGUUCUCUCAACAUCUCACAUAGGCAGAUGUUGAACAAUGAGAGCACAUGGACACCGGGAGAAUAACAUCACACACUGCGGUCUG